UACGUAGGGUGCGAGCGUUAAUCGGAAUUACUGGGCGUAAAGCGUGCGCAGGCGGUUUUGUAAGCCAGAUGUGAAAGCCCCGGGCUUAACCUGGGAAUGGCAUUUGGGACUGCAAGGCUGGAGUGUGGCAGAGGAGACUGGAAUUCCUGGUGUAGCAGUGAAAUGCGUAGAUAUCAGGAGGAACACCGAUGGCGAAGGCAAGUCUCUGGGCUGACACUGACGCUCAUGCACGAAAGCGUGGGGAGCAAACAGG
rnacentral:rRNA from 1 species